UAACGGUGUGUGCCGAGAAGUGGAAACUACGGGAAGUGCUGUUAGUCUUCCUCUGAUCCCAGUACUUAGCUCCGAGUGUCAGAGUGGAGGUGGGAGAACACUGAAGUCAUCGUCCUCACUCUGACGCUCACCGGCUGUGGGACCUCGAACUCUAGGUCUGUUCCCAGACAAUUCAAGAGGAUGGAAACCGCCUAUUGCUGCCCCCGCCCCUCCCCAGCUACUCUGAUGGCUUUGCUGGGCACCGGAUAUUGGCUCCUCUGGGGGCAUUUCUGUUUUAUGGGGCCUAGAGGUUUCUGCUUCUCUCCUGACCAACAUCGUUCAUUGGAUCUGAGUGAGAAUGCCGGAGGAGGCUGCAUUCCCCAAUCUUGGGUGUCCUUGGAUGUGACCUAGGAGUCUCCGGUCCACUAGUCUUCCUCCCUCCACCAUUACCUUUACAGAUUUGGGUCCCAGACGCUCUAGGUGACGUGGCAGGCAGCUGCUGAGCCAUGUGUCAGAGUAUUUGACACUUGGAGCUCUGGUAUUUUCAUGCAGAGUAGCCAAGGAAGGGAAGUAGGGGACUGCAGUGUGGAGGGUUGCCCCUCCCCGACACCCUCACCCUCCCGGCCUGGCAAUCUUUCUACACCCAGGUUUCCCCUUGUCUGUUCAACUCGAGAAUAAUUCCUAACCUCACUGAUUUCAUAAUGGAUGUACUGGAUGAGAAAUCACCUCGCAAUAGCCAGAUGCUGGUGGGUGAGAAUGACAGGAGUGGAGGGUGCUGGCUGCUAACCCCCAGCCUGCCCCCCAGGCAGUUUUAAUCCCUCUUCCCAGCUGAGGUCUGGAGCCCCAUCCUUCUCAUCUCACCCCAUGGGUGCCAACAGAGGUAUGUGUGCCUAAGCCUGCAUUCAUAUAGCUCUAGUCUCUCUCCACCUCCCCUCCCCCCAGGUCCAAAGUAGGGUGUUAACCAGGAACAGAACAUAAAAUUAACCCAAAACAAGAACUGAAACCAACCUCAUCUCUCACAGCCUCUCGAAAAGGCAAAGAGCAAAUGAGCAGCUUCUAUGAGGGGAACAUCUUAGAGGUUACCCCAGGGCUCUGCCCCUGAGGACAAGGGCAGAGUGGGGGGGGGGCCUGAAUCUGGAAAUGCAUGGCACAGGGGAGAGGCUCACAGGAACU